AUUGAACGCUGGCGGCAGGCCUAACACAUGCAAGUCGAGCGGAUGAAGGGAGCUUGCUCCUGGAUUCAGCGGCGGACGGGUGAGUAAUGCCUAGGAAUCUGCCUGGUAGUGGGGGAUAACGUCCGGAAACGGGCGCUAAUACCGCAUACGUCCUGAGGGAGAAAGUGGGGGAUCUUCGGACCUCACGCUAUCAGAUGAGCCUAGGUCGGAUUAGCUAGUUGGUGGGGUAAAGGCCUACCAAGGCGACGAUCCGUAACUGGUCUGAGAGGAUGAUCAGUCACACUGGAACUGAGACACGGUCCAGACUCCUACGGGAGGCAGCAGUAGGGAAUAUUGGACAAUGGGCGAAAGCCUGAUCCAGCCAUGCCGCGUGUGUGAAGAAGGUCUUCGGAUUGUAAAGCACUUUAAGUUGGGAGGAAGGGCAGUAAGUUAAUACCUUGCUGUUUUGACGUUACCAACAGAAUAAGCACCGGCUAACUUCGU
rnacentral:rRNA from 1 species